UCGUAUUAGAGGUUAUAUGUAAAAGUACAUGAAUGACCUACAUCAUUACAUCACUGAGUGCCUCACAAAAGUCAAAAAAUUUUGUGUUUUGGAGUUACAGAACAUAACGGUGGUGAUGAGGAAGUUUUAAGUGAACCCUGGACAACUACCUACCUGUUGAAGCACAGCGAGACAUUGGAGUUUAAAAAAACGCAGUGAAAAAUGGUUGAUUUUUAAAAAAUCACAGCAUGUGUUCUUCGGAAGGGGAGAAGACAUUCAA